CCCUGGCCCAGGUUUCCCAGAGAAGCUGUGGCUGCUCCUGGAUCCCUGGAAGUUUCCAAGGCCACGUUGGACAGGGUGUGGAGCAACCUGGUCUAGUGGAAGGUGUCCCUGCCCAUGGCAGGGGGCUGGAACAAGGUGGUCUUGAAGGUCC